AUACUUACCUUGCUGGAAUGUUGGGGCGCUCAAGAUGGCCUCCAUUACAGAUUAGUCCCUGCAUUGCACAUCGCGGCGGAAGAGUCUGUCCAAUGGCUUUCGGGUCAUUGGCUGGCGUAUUCUUUGGCACUUUCCACUCUGUGGUUCA
rnacentral:snRNA from 15 species